rnacentral:rRNA from 1 species
UACGAGGGGAGCAGGCGUUGUUCGGAUUUACUGGGCGUAAAGGGCGCGUAGGCGGCGUGACAAGUCACUUGUGAAAUCUCCGGGCUUAACUCGGAACGGUCAAGUGAUACUGUCGUGCUAGAGUACAGAAGGGGCAACUGGAAUUCUCGGUGUAGCGGUGAAAUGCGUAGAUAUCGAGAGGAACACCUGCGGCGAAGGCGGGUUGCUGGGCUGAUACUGACGCUGAGGCGCGAAAGCCAGGGGAGCGAACGGG